rnacentral:rRNA from 1 species
UACGUAGGGGGCUAGCGUUGUCCGGAAUCAUUGGGCGUAAAGCGCGUGUAGGCGGUCCGGUAAGUCCGCUGUGAAAGUCGAGGGCUCAACCCUCGAAUGCCGGUGGAUACUGUCGGGCUUGAGUACGGGAGAGGCGAGUGGAAUUCCUGGUGUAGCGGUGAAAUGCGUAGAUAUUGGGAGGAACACCAGUGGCGAAGGCGGCUCACUGGACUGGUACUGACGCUGAGGCGCGAAAGCGUGGGGAGCAAACAGG